rnacentral:rRNA from 1 species
UAAAUAGCCGCGGUAACUCUGACCGUGAUAAAGUAGCAUAAUCACUUGUCACCUAAUUAGUGAAUGGUAUGAAUGGUUAAACGAACCCUAAGCUGUCUCAAUAAGAAACCUUAUAAAAUUGAAAUUGUAGUGAAGAUGCUACAUAAAGAUUGCAAGACGAAAAGACCCUAUUGAGCUUUACUGAAUACUUACAACUUCUACAAAUAGUAAAUAUUACAAACAAUAUACUUUGUAAGUAAGACAGUUUGGUUGGGGCGACCACCUCUAAAAAAGUAACAGAGGAAAUCUAAAGGCUAAUAAUAUGAAUACUAGCUUAACUGAAAUAACAAUAAUUUAUACAGGUACAAAAAGUAGGACAUAAUGACCCGUUAUAAUUUAAUGAAAAUUAUAACGAUUAUAGAAAAAGUUACCAUAGGGAUAACAGGGUAAUAUUUUCUAAGAGUUCUAAUCGACGAAAAUGUU